rnacentral:rRNA from 1 species
AUUGAACGCUGGCGGCAGGCCUAACACAUGCAAGUCGAACGAGUGGCGGACGGGUGAGUAAUGUCUGGGAAACUGCCUGAUGGAGGGGGAUAACUACUGGAAACGGUAGCUAAUACCGCAUACCAUCAGAUUUGCCCAGAUGGGAUUAGCUUGUUGGUUGGGUAACGGAGAACCAAGGCGACGAUCCCUAGCCGGUCUGAGAGGAUGACCAGCCACACUGUAACUGAGUCACGGGCCAGACUCCUACGGGGGGCAGCAGUGGGGAAUAGUGCACAAUGGGCGAAAGACUGAUGCAGCCAUGCCGCGUGUAUGAAGAAGGCCAUCGGGUUGUAAAGUACUUUCAGCGGGGAGGCGUUACCCGCAGAAGAAGCACCGGCUAACUCCGGGCCAGCAGCCGCGGUAAUAC